AGCAGUACUCUGGCGGCGACCGGCAAACGGGUGCGGAACACGUACAGAACCUUCCUUUAAGUGGGGGAUAGCCCGGAGAAAUCCGGAUUAAUACCCCGUAAUAUUAUUGAGUGGCAUCAUUUGAUAAUUAUAGAUUUAUCGCUUAGAGAUGGCUGUGCGUCUGAUUAGGUAGUUGGUUGAGGUAACGGCUCACCAAGCCUUCGAUCAGUAACUGGUGUGAGAGCACGACCAGUCACACGGGCACUGAGACACGGGCCCGACUCCUACGGGAGGCAGCAGUAAGGAAUAUUGGUCAAUGGACGCAAGUCUGAACCAGCCAUGCCGCGUGAAGGAUGAAGGCCCUCUGGGUUGUAAACUUCUUUUAUCUGGGAAGAAACCACUUUUUUUAAGGGUGUUGACGGUACCAGAGGAAUAAGCACCGGCUAACUCCGUGCCAGCAGCCGCGGUAAUACGGAGGGUGCAAGCGUUAUCCGGAUUCACUGGGUUUAAAGGGUGCGUAGGUGGGCUUGUAAGUCAGUGGUGAAAUCUCCGUGCUUAACAUGGAAACUGCCAUUGAUACUAUAGGUCUUGAAU
rnacentral:rRNA from 1 species